rnacentral:rRNA from 1 species
UACGAAGGGUGCAAACGUUGCUCGGAAUUAUUGGGCGUAAAGCGCACGUAGGCGGCUUGGCAAGUCGGAUGUGAAAGCCCUCGGCUCAACCAAGGAAGUGCAUCCGAAACUGCUGAGCUUGAGUACUUAAGAGGAUCGCGGAAUUCCCGGUGUAGAGGUGAAAUUCGUAGAUAUCGGGAGGAACACCGGUGGCGAAGGCGGCGACCUGGGUCGAUACUGACGCUGAGGUGCGAAAGCGUGGGGAGCAAACAGG